ensembl:lncRNA
AUGGUGAUAGGUGGAAUGGGCUGAGAGUGGCUGAGGGGCGGGAUUAAAGAGCUGAGGUCUAUGGUGAUAGGUGGGAUGGGCUGAGAAUGGCUGAGGGGCGGGAUUAAAGAGCUGAGGUCUAUGGUGAUAGGUGGGAUGGGCUGAGAGUGGCUGAGGGGUGGGAUUAAAGAUCUGAGGUCUAUGGUGAUAGGUGGGAUGGGCUCAGAGUGGCUGAGGGGUGGGAUUAAAGAGCUGAGGUCUAUGGUGAUAGGUGGAAUGGGCUGAGAGUGGCUGAGGGGUGGGAUUAAAGAGCUGAGGUCUAUGGUGAUAGGUGGGAUGGGCUGAGUGUAGCUGAGGGGUGGGAUUAAAGAGCUGAGGUCUAUGGUGAUAGGUGGAAUGGGCUGAGAGUGGCUGAGGGGUGGGAUUAAAGAGCUGAGGUCUAUGGUGAUAGGUGGGAUGGGCUGAGUGUAGCUGAGGGGUGGGAUUAAAGAGCUUUUUGUUUGGUAAUGUAUUAUUGUUAUAUGAUUGCUUUAUAUAAAAGUACCAUGUAUGUAAAAUGUAUGUGUAAAAUGUAUGUGUAAAAUGUAUGUAUACAUAGC